rnacentral:rRNA from 1 species
UACAGAGGUCCCAAGCGUUGUUCGGAUUCACUGGGCGUAAAGGGCGCGUAGGUGGUUUGAUAAGGGUGUGGUGAAAGUCCGGGGCUCAACCCCGGAUCUGCCGUGCCGACUGUCAAACUCGAGGACUGUAGAGGCAGACGGAAUUCCGGGUGUAGCGGUGGAAUGCGUAGAGAUCCGGAGGAAGACCGGUGGCGAAGGCGGUCUGCUGGGCAGUUUCUGACACUGAGGCGCGACAGCGUGGGGAGCAACAGG